rnacentral:misc_RNA from 1 species
GUGACAGAGUAGAUUGUCCCUAGGUCUGGAUCCGUUGAGACGCUCAGCUGUACUUUCUCCUGCGAUUCUAUUUCCACAAAAUCAGAGAGAGCACUAACGACGUUGCUUACAAUCUUCUGUUUGGCCUCAUCACUGACAGCACAUCUAUCAGAGAAGAGAAUCAUCCUCAGGCGUUGCUUAGCAACAUUAGCAGCAGAAUUACUUGCCGAAGGGGAUGGUGGAA